GCCCACAAUGAGCUUACAGCCCGGGGGGGGGCGGGGGGAGACAGACAUUAGUAUAAAUUACAGAUACGUGCAGAAGUGCUCUGGACUCGAGCCAGCCCCCGCACUUUAUUAAUUCAAUCAAUUAAUCCGUGGUAUUUCUCGAGCACUGACCGCAGAGCACUGGAAUAAGCACAUGGGAGUGGGCAGUAAAACAGAGUAUCUGUAAUGUAUUUACCUCAAUUAAUGUCUUUCUCUUCCUCUAGACUGGGAGCUCAUUGCGGGAGAAGGGGUCUGUCUACUAUAAAAUAGCGUACUCUCCCAAGCGCUUAGUACAGUGUUCUGCAUACGGUGCCGGGUGACCAGGAACUCCGUUCUUAAGUACGCAGAUGGGAUAUUUGGCCCAAAUGGGGUUCCCAGGCUAAGAGGGGAGCGAGAUAGCGAAGAAGCGAGAGUCGGUGGAGAGGUCUUCGGAGAAAAUGGGGUCAAACACGCUCGCUUGAAUUCCCGUUUCAAGAAACCACAGUUUCUUUUCUCUCUCCCCAGCUUGCGCUGAGCUAGGGGCUCCUUACGCGUGCGUUUCAGAACUGGAAAAUCGGUUUUCCUUCGCUGCCUAUUCAUCCAUUACGCUCCCACGGCCCGGGGUGGUCUUCGAAACCACCGAUCCCAAAUAAACCUGCUCGUUUCUCAAA